rnacentral:rRNA from 1 species
UACGUAGGGGGCAAGCGUUGUCCGGAAUCAUUGGGCGUAAGCGCGUGUAGGCGGCUCGGUAAGUCUGCUCUGAAAGCCCGGGGCUCAACCCUGGGAGGCGGGUGGAUACUGCUGAGCUCGAGUCCGGAAGAGGCGAGUGGAAUUCCUGGUGUAGCGGUGAAAUGCGCAGAUAUCAGGAGGAACACCAAUGGCGAAGGCAGCUCGCUGGGACGGUACUGGACGCUGAGACGCGAAAGCGUGGGGAGCAAACAGG